rnacentral:rRNA from 1 species
AUUGAACGCUGGCGGCAGGCCUAACACAUGCAAGUCGAGCGGAGCGGCGGACGGGUGAGUAAUGCCUAGGAAUCUGCCUGGUAGUGGGGGAUAACGACCGGAAACGGGCGCUAAUACCGCAUACUAUCAGAUGAGCCUAGGUCGGAUUAGCUAGUUGGUGGGGUAAAGGCCUACCACGUCGACGAUCCGUCACUGGUAGGAGAGGCUGAUCAGUCACAUGGGAACGUAGACAGUGUCCAGACUCCUACGGUAGGCAGCAGUGGGGAAUAUUGGACAAUGGGCGAAAGCCUGAUCCAGCCAUGCCGCGUGUGUGAAGAAGGUCUUCGGAUUGUAAAGCACUUUAAGUUGGGAGGCGUUACCAACAGAAUAAGCACCGGCUAACUUCGUGCCAGCAGCCGCGGGAAUUC